UCACUUUGGCAGCAGGUAUACUAAGAUUGGAAUGAUGCAGAGAUUAGCCUGGCCCCAGGCAAGGACGACACACAGAUUCAUGAAGCGUUCCAUAUUUUU
ensembl:snRNA U6 U6 spliceosomal RNA